rnacentral:lncRNA from 1 species
CGAAAGAUUGUAUUCCCAACCUGCUCAGAACAAUCAAUUCAGCAGCGCCGGGAAUCAUGACCAGAAUCCAGUGUUGAUCCCCAAGCUGGCGAAACUUAAACCUGUGGACAUGAAUAAAGGCGCAGGCUCCAGGCCACUCAUGGUCAAACCCAACUUCAUGGUUAACUCUAUGGAGGCUAGAUUCAAUCCUCCAGUUUCGAACAACAAGACCAGUGGUGACUCGAGAUGUGAUGCUGUAGGAGUGAAGCUGCCCAAUAGAGGAAACCAGGAGAACGCUUUUACACAAGCCCCCACUGGAGCCGGAUUCCAGAUUCCUGCCAAACUGCCUAUUAUACAGAAACCUGUUCUCCAUGAAAAGAUCUCUGCAGCACCGGGAACCGCUACUGGUGAUUUGUCAGUGCCAAAAAAGAAGUCUCUUCCCAGUGUGUUUGCUUUAGGAAAAUGUCCUGCUAAACCACAGAGACCUCCACAUGUUAACCUCAACAAGUUCAGAGGGAACGUAUCCAACACCAGCAACCCUGAGGAACAUUUCUCCCUCCGACCCCCACCACCUCCAGAACGCCUGUCAAUCACAUCUGUGACUCCACCCCCACCCCCACCCUUCACAUUUCCACCUGCUCCCCCUCCAGUGGAUGAGGAGGGUUAUUACGAUGAUACGGACAUCAUGAGCCGGAUGGAGACUUCACUAGGUGCCGUUCACAGAGAAGUUAUUUAAUAU